rnacentral:lncRNA from 1 species
GUUACGUGGAUGAAUUGUAUACUGGUGAAGUCAUGGCUUUUAGUAUACCUAUCACAAAAAUAAUGUCCAUUGUACCCAAUAGGUAAGUUCUCAAUCCUUAUCCCCUUUCCACCUGUGUUAGUUAGGGUUUUCUGGAGGGACAGGACCAAUAGGAUAGAUGUAUUUAUGAAAAGGAGUUUAUUAAGGAGAAUUGACUCACAUGAUCACCAGGUGAAAUCCUACAAUAGGCCAUCUGCAAGCUGAGAAGCAAGGAAGCCAGUCUGAGUCCCAAAACCUCAAAAGUAGGGAAGUCGACAGUGCAGCCUUCAGUCUGUGGCCAAAGGUCCAAGAGACCCAGGCAAACCACUGAUGCAGAUCCAAGAGUCCAAAAGCUGAAGAACUUAAAGUCCGAUGAUUUAGGGCAGGAGGCAUCCAGCAUGGAGGAAGAUGGAAGCCAUAAGACUUAACCAGUCUAGUCCUUCCACGUUUCUCUGCCUGCUUUUAUCCUAGAGGUGCUGGCAGCUGAUUAGAUGGUGCCCACCCAGGAUGAUGGUGGGCCUGCCUCUCCUAGACCAUGGACUGAAAUGUUAAUCUCCUUUGGCAACACCCUCACAGACACACCCAGGAACAAUACUUUGCAUCCUUCAAUCCAAUCAAGUUGACACUCAAUAUUAACCAUCACAAGUUCACCCGUGUCACCUUGAACCCACACACAUCUCCUGAAAUCAUACAUAAUCUUCAAAUAAAGACAGUAAUAAGGUCAUAAUUAUACCUAACAUAAUACAGCUAUCCUUCAUACAACUGGAAAUGCACCAAUCCCCAACCCAAAUACUAUUACAUAAAGUUGACAACACUUAAAUGCUGAUAUGAUGUUAACAAAUUUUAUGUCACAAGAUAAACGAAAAAGAAGGAAACCAAAAUGAAGAUAUUUUCUUAGUAAAAAUGUAUACAUGUACAAAUAUGUUCUUAUCAAACUAAGGAGGAAAUGCUCAUGACAAUUACAGUCCUCGUUUCUGCAACUGGUCACAUGGUCAUAGCUGGUAUUGAUGACUACCUUCUUCUACUACCCAUUCUGUAUUCCCUUUGCCUUCAACAAGCACCUCAGCAUGUCAUGGUUUUUUACCUGGUGGAGUGACCCAAACCUUCGUUCCUGAAGGGUCUGGGCCUUUUAUAGUCUUGCCUGAAUAGGGCUGUUGUUUCCAUUUACCUUAAUCACAGGGCAUGGUAAUAUUAAGAGAUGUCCUAAGGGAUCUCCUGUAUUCCAUGCCUACCCUUCCUUACCUCCAUUGUGGAGAAGUAGCCUGAUUUCAUCUUGAUAGACUGGGUCAGUUACCCCAGCCAACACCAUAACUCCCUUUGUAGUCUGUUGACUUAGAGAUAGGAGGAGCCCAUAGUGUCCGGGUGACAAUCUUGACUUCCAGUUUAAUGGAAUCAUUGUUGUGUUUCCUGGUGAUAGCAUUCCUCCCUCUGGAACUAAGACCUCUAAGCCAGCACAAUAUAAUGUUGCAGGAACAGGAGGCAAAAAUUUUGGUGAGUGGUGAGUGGUGCCACUUCUGCUUCCACCUGGGCCUGUGAAUCCUGACUAUGGGAGAGACAGUACCAUAUAUUGGGCACUGAUUCAGAGAAUACACAGCUUUCUGGAGAAUUUUGCCCAGCCUUCCAAGGUAUUGUCACCUAGUU